rnacentral:rRNA from 1 species
CAGCAGCGGUAAUACGAAGGGUGCAAGCGUUAAUCGGAAUUACUGGGCGUAAAGCGUGCGUAGGCGGUGAGUUAAGUCUGCUGUGAAAUCCCCGGGCUCAACCUGGGAAUGGCAGUGGAUACUGGCUCGCUAGAGUGUGUCAGAGGAUGGUGGAAUUCCCGGUGUAGCGGUGAAAUGCGUAGAGAUCGGGAGGAACAUCAGUGGCGAAGGCGGCCAUCUGGGACAACACUGACGCUGAGGCACGAAAGCGUGGGGAGCAAACAGGAUUAGAUACCCGCGUAGUCCCUGUCUCUUAUACACU